GUGCCAGCCGCCGCGGUAAUACGGAGGGGGUUAGCGUUGUUCGGAAUUACUGGGCGUAAAGCGCACGUAGGCGGAUUGGAAAGUUGGGGGUGAAAUCCCGGGGCUCAACCCCGGAACUGCCUCCAAAACUCCCAGUCUAGAGUUCGAGAGAGGUGAGUGGAAUUCCGAGUGUAGAGGUGAAAUUCGUAGAUAUUCGGAGGAACACCAGUGGCGAAGGCGGCUCACUGGCUCGAUACUGACGCUGAGGUGCGAAAGUGUGGGGAGCAAACAGGAUUAGAUACCCUGGUAGUCCACACCGUAAACGAUGAAUGCCAGACGUCGGGUAGCAUGCUAUUCGGUGUCGCACCUAACGGAUUAAGCAUUCCGCCUGGGGAGUACGGCCGCAAGGUUAAAACUUAAAUGAAUUGACGGGG
rnacentral:rRNA from 1 species